AGGAGGCGAUAAGGAGCAGUAGAAUAACUGCAACAGCGCACGGCCAUUGCAUGGUUGCUGAGUAUGCUGUUGAGUGAGGGGGGGUUUUGAACGGGAUCUGCGGUGUCGCGAGAGGGCGUGGUUUAGAAUACAGAUUGGUUUGUAGAGGUUGGUUCGUUUGUCAAAAAAAAAAAAAAAAAAAAAGUGGCAUCAAGUUUAACGGGUCCGCGUACCCCACCGUGCAUAAUUGAACAGAGGUUACAAGAUAGACAGAUGGUUGUGAGCUACUUGGAGGAAUAUCUGAAUUUCUGUCACGAGCUGCUUAAGCGAUGGGGGGUUUUCGUGGAGCCGGCAUGGAUCGUGGUUUUUUGUUGCAUAGCGCUGUUUGUUUCUUUGCUGGGAGGGGUGAUUGGCUGGACGAGGAGGUCGGCGGUCAGAAAAAGGAAAAAUUGUGUGUUGAUUUUGGGCGCCAUGAACAGCGGGAAAACAAGCUUUUUUUAUAGAAUGAUGACGGAGAGGUGCCCUAAGGUGGUGACGUCUAUGGCUCCGAAUAGAGGUUUUGCGAGGAUAGAAGGAAAGAGCGUUGAGUUGGUGGAUUUCCCAGGACAUCAGCGACUCCGCGCGAUGUUGGACCCGUACUUGGACCAGGCAGGAGUGGUGAUUUGGUUUGUCAACAGCGCGUCCAUUGCGAGCGAAGUGAUCAUGGUGUCCCAAUACUUGUACAGAGUUUUGGAGAGGACGAGGGGAGCAAAGUUGGUCGUGGCGUGCAACAUGCAGGACGUGUUGUCGGCGGCUUCGUGUGCGAACAUUCAAAAAAUGCUCGAAACGGAAAUAGACAAGCUUGUAUUGAGUCGUCCGGGGCGUUUGGCGAUAGAGGGGGAGGAGGGGCGCGAGGCGGUGUCCGAGUUUAGUACUCCUUUCAGAUUUUCGCAGUGCGGAGUGUAUAAUUUUGUGCCAUGCAGCGUCACGAACAACCAGGUGGACCGGGUUGUGUCGCAGAUGCGAAAGCUGAUUUGAGGCGAUGCGGAGCGCGGCGUCGCCCGGGCGUUGAGGGGAUUUGGUACAUUUUUCUAAAGCCGUUGCCGACUAAUGAAUGGCCAACUUUUUGGUGGCGUCCUCGAGCGUCGCGCCGUUGGGGCCCAGAGUGUGCGCGAAUGAGGCGAUACCGGCCGUUAUCUCGACGGCGAGAGACAAGGAGGACGAGAAAUUGUACCGAAUCGAUUGACGCACGCGUCUUUGAUUGUACUCGGGGACAUCGUUUUUCUGUUGGCACACUUUCGUAUCCGCUCGGAGGAGAGAGACAGAGACGCAGGUGCUGAGCGCGAGCAAGGGAGAGACCUACGAGACUAAUAAUGAGACGAUUUGGACUGAGAAGCAAAGGUGAUAAUAUAGAGCGGGUUCAUUCCAGCAGAGUUGGGAACGACGUAGUACUGGACUUUGCGGAUCCACUUGAGUCCGUCGGUGAUAAGUCUGACCAUGAGCAUUUUGUUUCCACCUCGACAAUAAGUUAUGGCGACAUUUGGAUCAAGGGCGCAAUAAAUUCCAUACCCGUGUAUGGCGCGUUUUACUAGCGAGACGUCAAAGCCGUGGGUGGUGAUUUCCUUGAUAGAGGGCUCGGAGGUGCCGUGGAAGGCGUAGAUUUCGGUGGGUCGGACCAUGUUUCUGCGCUUUACUUGGAUGAAGUAGUCGUUGUACUGCUUGUCGAGUUGGGGGUUGUGGAUGAGCUCGAGUUUGAGGAUGCGGAGGGUUUGCUCGCCCUUGGAUUGUCCCUUCAUGAUACUGAGGACCAGGUUGUGAUGGCUUGGGUCGUGAGUGACGUUCAGGAGGUUUUCGACUGGGCCUGAAUGGAUGAAGGGAGGGACGAGCGGUUUGGAGGGCGCCGAAUUUUUAGCGUGCAGAGUCGGUACGAGGUGUUGGUUGGGACAGUUUUUGAUGAUGCAAUUAGUUCCAUACUUGCAGUUCUUGGGCCUCAUAGAGAGAGGACAGAAGAUUUUCGCGCGAGGGAGGACGUCUUCAAAAUGCCAAUGGGGCCAAAGUUCCACGAACGUUUUUUUGAUGUCAUUCACGUAGGUUACAAUGGUGAUUUCGUUUGGAUGCAUAUGGGGGCAGCUCGGAAGUCGGCAUUCGCUGUACAUGAGUAUUUGAUUGCAGAUGAUAGCUUUUUGAAUGUGGGCACUGGUGCAGCCGACUUCUGCGCAGAUGCCAUUGAUGUACAUGUUCUUGCAGUAAUUGGGGGGCAGGUGCUCAAGAGGAGAGGGAGGGGCCCCCGAGGAGGGAACGCUGAGUGUGGCCCCCGGCUCCUUGGCGGCAGGAGUGUACUUGGGGGGAGAAGUGGGGGGGCUCGAGACCAGUUUUUGGUACACGGAGUCUUGCUUAGGAGAGGGGCGUGGUUUUUGGUGGGUUUCGAUCGGAGAGGGGACAGGAGGCGGAUUGGGCUUCGUCUUGAUCGAAGGCGCAGUGUUGUCAGAACUUGAGUUCGGCCGGUUCGCCGGGACGGCCGCUUGUUUCUGUUGCAAAGAUGUUGUACCACUAUUUGGCUUUGUGUGCUUUUUAAAAAAAAAUGAAAAAGGGUUUCGAAAACCAAAUA